GCCCCGGAGCCCACACAUCCCCUACGACCAUGAAAUCUUGUAUGAGUGGAUCAAUCCGGUUUAUUUGGACAUGGACUCCCAAGCUCAAAUCCAGGAGGAAUUUGAGGAGCGAUCAGAAAUUCUCCUGAAGGAUUUUCUACAGACUCUACGAGGCGGCGGAAGAAGACAGCCUCCCCGACAUCCUGAAGAAAUUCCUGCAGUUCCUACGCUCCGAGGCUUUGUUUUUACUGCUUUCCAACUUCACCGGCCUAAAGCUCCACUUCCUGGCUCCCUCUG